GCCCCCCCUGUCCUGGGCUGUCCCAGGGAUCUGCAACCCCCAUCCAGGAGUGAUCCAUUGGCAGGGAACACCAGGACCAGCUCUGGGAUGGAGGGUGUCACUGCCUGGAGUCUGUACAUCCCAGUGCAACUGGGGAGUCUGGGAUCCAGGACAGCUGCUGGGUGGAGGGAGUGCCUGAUCCUGGCUUUGGGAGGCUCCAAGCUGUCCCUGUGGAGAUCCAGGCGUUUUUAUCAGCAGAGGAAAAGGUAAAAACACGAAUCCCAAAUGCCGGACGCAGCACCCGGAGCAGCCUCGUUUGCCAGGCUUGGCUCCACGGAUGCUCAGCUUGGCUUGUGCCGUUCACCUGUCCCACAAAUUACCUGGAAAAGCUCCCACCAAACAACAGCCAGGAGCAGGGCGAGGGAGCUGCAGGAAUCGGCAAGGGGCAGCCAUGGCUCAUCCCACACGGAAUUCAGAGUGGAAACACUGUAUUGACAGACUUUACAAAAGUUGUUACAAAACACGGUCACGAACCAGCAGCUGACGAUACACAGCGAAGAGACACCACGUACAGGCACCUCGGAACAACACCAACAGCUCCAGAAGUCAACCAAUAUUUACACAAAUGGCUGGAAAACUCUGGGCGUUUAUCGCAUAACAUGGAAGUGUUUUAGAGCAACUGUGAAAUAUAGUGUCACACCUUUC